CCACCAACGGCCGCGGCGUACCCUGAGUGGCCCCGCUGCCGGCACUUGGUCUGUACGUGUCUGUUGCUGUCCCCCCUUUCGUUCCGCGUACCCCGGCCUCUCGUGUGUUUGUCUGAAGUUCUUUUGUGUGGAACCCUGCGCUUCCGGUCCAUCCUCCAGUGUGUCAGCCUCUUCUUUCCCCACCGCGCCCUCAGACCCCACAAAGCACGUCCAAUUCUGUUCGAUUAAAGUUAACUAGUAUUUGUUCUGAGGGCACGAAGUACCUGGCCAGGCCUUGUGAGGCCUGUAUGAGUAGACUGUGACAAGAGUCUUUUCUGACAAAAGAAAAUGAAGACCUCGAUCUGGGAAUAAUGUUAGAAGGUUUCAGGGAGAUGGUCUGAAACAAAAUGGGAGCAAAAUAGACAAGGAAAAAAGUGGAAAAGGAAGUAUGACUCAAGGAACAAAUGAGGCACUGGGAGAACAGUGGUGUCUCAGAGACGGGAAAUGGAGAUACCAAGGAGGCUCAUGGAAAGAGGUGUUUACUCACAGGUGAUCACAAAACUGGAGCCACCCUGAGGAGUGUGUCAAUUUUAUCUCCACACCUCACACAAGAGGACAGACUGGCCUGAACCACUGGUAUCUCACAAAGUGGUGUUAUGCACAGCCAGAUUCUCCAAAGUCUGGAGUGUCAGUGAUUCCUGGGAUUGCAUCAACCAGGCCAAGGUGGAGAGGAUUAAGGCAGGAGGGUAAAGUUGGUCCAUCUUAUACCAUCAUGGCCAGAAGUGGAAGUUUUCCCAGGAAGUUUUAUAAAUUGUCAUUUAUAAGCAGCCCAGUGUUUCAUUGGUUCGAGUCCUGGGCGCGGACAUGGCACUGCUCAUCAAGCCACGCUGAGGCAGCAUCCCACAUGCCACAACUAGAAGGACCCACAACGAAGAAUAUACAACUAUGUACCGGGGGACUUUGGGGAGAAAAAGGAAAAAAAUAAAAUCUUGAAAAAAAAAAACUUC
rnacentral:lncRNA from 1 species